rnacentral:rRNA from 1 species
UACGUAGGGGCUAGCGUUAUCCGGAAUUACUGGGCGUAAAGGGUGCGUAGGUGGUUUCUUAAGUCAGAGGUGAAAGGCUACGGCUCAACCGUAGUAAGCCUUUGAAACUGGGGAACUUGAGUGCAGGAGAGGAGAGUGGAAUUCCUAGUGUAGCGGUGAAAUGCGUAGAUAUUAGGAGGAACACCAGUUGCGAAGGCGGCUCUCUGGACUGUAACUGACACUGAGGCACGAAAGCGUGGGGAGCAAACAGGAUUAGAUACCCGGUACGUCCUCGAGCGGGCGU